UUUUACCUUGAAAAGGUACUUCAGCAGUUCAGCUACAGCACUUUUCACAAAGCUGAGGAACUGUGCUUUACUAAUUUAUUCUCUUUUCAUCAUCUCUUUCCUAAUAGUGUUUCUAAGAUCAAGGAUGUUGGAGAGAGUGCACCUCAUGUAAAAGUCUUGAAAGUCUUCUGUGACUGUCUCCCCACUGAGGAGAAGGAUCAUCAAUAGCAUUCAGUAGCAUCUAGGAAGUUAGUGGAUUUUUUCCUUCCAUCUCGUUGACAAAUGCUCCAAGUUCCCAAAAACCAUGAACUGUUUUUUCUGAAGUUG
rnacentral:lncRNA from 1 species